UGGUUCUGGCAUCGAUGAAGAACGCAGCGAAAUGCGAUAAGUAAUGCGAAUUGCAGAAUUUCCGUGAGUCAUCGAAUCUUUGAACGCACAUUGCGCCCCUUGGUAUUCCGAGGGGCAUGCCUGUUCGAGCGUCAUUAUCACCCCUCAAGCCUGGCUUGGUGUUGGACCGCGUCCCGAGAGAGACCGGCCCUAAAGACAAUGACGGCGUCCGUGGGACCCUCCGUGCAAUGAGUCUUCUUAGGCACGCACGCGAUUUGGGCACUACGAGACCCGGCCUUUUUAACCAUUUUAUCAAGGUUGACCUCGGAUCAGGUAGGGAUACCCGCUGA
rnacentral:misc_RNA from 1 species